rnacentral:lncRNA from 1 species
CAGCACUGCUCUUAUUUGUGUUUCCCACACAGAAUCACAGCUUUUCACACCUCCUCAGUGUCACCGUAUUUAGGAACUGAGGCAAUCUGAUGUUUAACAUGCCAGGCUGUGAUUGCUGGAACUUGGAGUUUCCAUCGUGGACUUUCUGGCAUAGCAGUCUUACGCCUCAAUCCCUAUAUCAUCGGAGUAGCAGAGAUUGGAGUAAGAAUUGUGAAGAAAAGUACUGCUUGGCUACCUGUUAAACUCAGCAACACCUCAGGCAAAGCAAAAAACAAUGUCUUCACCUUAUUAGUUGACUGAGAGGCUAAAUAAAUUGGGAGUUUGGCAAGUGUGACUUGCUUAC